UACGUAGGGUGCAAGCGUUGUCCGGAAUUAUUGGGCGUAAAGAGCUCGUAGGCGGUCUGUCACGUCUGCUGUGAAAACUCGGGGCUUAACCCCGGGCCUGCAGUGGGUACGGGCAGACUAGAGUGCGGUAGGGGAGACUGGAAUUCCUGGUGUAGCGGUGAAAUGCGCAGAUAUCAGGAGGAAUACCAGAGGCGAAGGCGGCUACCUGGACAAUUGCUGACGCUCAGGCACGAAAGCGUGGGGAGCAAAAGGG
rnacentral:rRNA from 1 species